GUGGGGAAUAUUGGACAAUGGGCGCAAGCCUGAUCCAGCAAUGCCGCGUGUGUGAAGAAGGUCUUCGGAUCGUAAAGCACUUUCGACGGGGACGAUGAUGACGGUACCCGUAGAAGAAGCCCCGGCUAACUUCGUGCCAGCAGCCGCGGUAAUACGAAGGGGGCUAGCGUUGCUCGGAAUUACUGGGCGUAAAGGGCGCGUAGGCGGCUCUGUGAGUCAGGCGUGAAAUUCCUGGGCUUAACCUGGGGACUGCGCUUGAUACUGCAGGGCUUGAGGCCGAGAGAGGGUGGUGGAAUUCCCAGUGUAGAGGUGAAAUUCGUAGAUAUUGGGAAGAACACCGGUGGCGAAGGCGACCACCUGGCUCGGUACUGACGCUGAGGCGCGACAGCGUGGGGAGCAAACAGGAUUAGAAACCCGGGUAGUCC
rnacentral:rRNA from 1 species